UUUUGAAUCAAAAAGAAAACUUUGAUUAAUUCAAAAACCAAAGGUACAAGGCAAUCGCAAGGAUCCAGCCCACAGGAUCAAAAACGACAAAAAAACAACCAAAGAAAAGGACUAUUUACAUCAUGAGUUUAGCUAGGCAUGUCCUUAAUUUUCUAUUGGUCCAGCCCCUAUAGACAAUAGUAUCAAUAAUUUUCUCAUCAGUAUGAUUGUUCUGUACAGCAUUACCAAAACUAAUAUCAUUUCGAUACCUCCAAAUCUCAUAGACACAUUCA
rnacentral:lncRNA from 1 species